AGGGGAAGAUCUCGCCGAUAACCGUCGGGUUUGAAACUCAGCCACUUAGAUCAAGAUCAAAAAAAGCAAAAGAAGAGAAAAGACGGAAAAGAAGAAUAGAAAAGAGGAGAAGAUCUCGCCGAGAAUAGACCGGCCGGAAGGUCGCUGGGGUGGGAAAGAGAAAGAGGAGAGAUCCAAGAUUGUGGUGGACUUCCGGGGGAAGGUUUGAGUUUGUUUCUGGAGAGGUGGAUGCUAAAAUUUUGAUCGAGUUUGGGGGAGAGCUUUCAGCAGGAGAAGAGUGUAGAGAUGAAGAAGGGAUAUUCUUGGUAUAUUCAGUCAGUAGCUUUGAAAGCACCUGUGUAUUCAAUUGGACCAAUUUAGGAGUGGAGUGCCUUUUGUGUAAUAAAAAGUUUCUGGUCAAGUAUGAAGGAAUUCCUGGGAAUGGAGUAGCUUGAACACCGCUUAUUAUGGUGGAGUAUCAUUAAAAUGAGAUGUAUUGUUUGACAUAUAUUAUCUAGAACCCCCACUUAUUGUCAAAACAAAAAGAAAGUGAAAUGGUUAAUUGCUUUUGGGGGGUAACAAUGAAUACAGAAGUCAUUGCCUACAAUAGCUCUUUAUGUGAGUGGACAUAAUGGGGAGUGCAAUUUCUUUCUGCUGUUUCGGAUUAUAUAGUGCAAAUUGUUUCUGUUUCAUAUUUGUUAGUUGAUUACAUGGAAUAAAAACCUGUAGGCUGUAUACUGCUGGUAUUAAAAGGAAAGUCUCUGAUCCUAUGUACUGUAAAUAUUGACAUUUAGAAGAUUAACAUUUCUCUGGAAUUUUUUAUAUGUUUUUGCUUAUUUAUUUGAAUACGGUAUCAGUUUGCCACAAAGAACUAUUUGGUAGGUGGGAAUUUGAAACACCAGUUCAUCCAUAUUCUGCUUAGUGCUGCUUUCCUUAUUCUACACUCUACAUUCUAGAGUUGUAUACAGAAUUACAGUUGAAUUAAAAAUGGGUUCAUAAACACACUCAGUUGAACAAGUCAAAGAUAAUAAUCUAUGGCAUUCUGUACAUACUAGAACUCUCUAUUUUUACUUAAAUACUGAGACCAAGAGAAGGAAAUACAUUCAUGACCCUUAUAUAUACCAUAGACUUCCAUGUCAUCAAAAGAAAAGAAAAAGAAAAAAAAACACUUCCAUGUGCUAAACUAAUUAAUAACAUCAGCUUGGAUAAUGAGGUUAAUAUAAAAGUUUCCCUUGGAUUUUUAAACUAUUGUUAGUCAUUUCAUGAUAUUAAUUAUAUCUAUUUUGCUUUCCGAGCUUAAUAAUGCUCCUGUUGUGCUGAGAGGAUUUGAAUUUAGCAAACUUCAGGAAAACUAUCAGCAAGUUUGUUGAUUGAUUGAACCAAAGUAUAGAAAUAGGCAAUUCAUUAGUCCUUGAAAUGAAGGUGCGGACUGUUGAUAGAAGUUGAGUCUCACUUUUGGCAUUUCUCUAUCAGAUGACAUCUAUCAAUGGAAACCGGGAACUAGGAGUAUAACACUCGCUGUAUUUUCUCAAUUGCUGCGAUUCUCUAAGAUUCUCAACUUUCCGGUCUCAAUUUAUCAAACAAUGAGGAUUGGUUUGUGCUUCAGUCUAAGGCAAUGAGAAUGAGCAAAGGGUGACAAGUUGUUGGCGUCGCAAAAUGCAGAGCUAUCGGCUUUUUUGUAUCUUAAAUUGAUUGAGAAAUAUUCAUUCUGUUAAAUUGUUUGUUCUCUUUAAUAAGCGCUAUAUGGGGCGCAUAUCUGUGUUUCCCAUGAAUUCAUUUCUCUACAUCUUUUUACAAUGGUCUCUUCAAAAGAAAAGAUAUGGUUUUAGGAUGAAGGCAAAUUUAAAAUCUGUUGAAAGGAAGGUAGAAAUAACUGAUAAUGAGUAUGCAUAAACUAGGGGUCCCAUCUCACGAGUGCACUUAGUGAUAACUUAAUACUACAUUGUGUGGCUGUCUUGCUCAGGUUGUCCAGCAGUUCCAAGAAUUGUUUUGGAACUUUGUUCUUCAUUUAUAUGAUGUGCAAUCUUUGUAGCAAGAACUAAUUUGCUCAUCUAAUUUUCUUGCACGGUGUUCCUGUGCAAGCUCGGCAAACACCACCAUUGUUGCAGUACUUUGUUACUAUAGGGAAACUCAACACUUUUGAAUCAUUGGAAUUGUCACGUUUGGUUGUAAAUCAAAACAAGAAGCAUCUUUUGGAGAAUUGGCUAUUUGAGGACAAGCUUGAAUGUAGCGAAGAGCUAACUUUUUCGAUAAUUUCAGGACGACAAAGUUACUAGAUGAAGAAAUUGAAGAGGACGAGAUGUUCUGGAAUCAGGAGGCUCUUAAAGAGGAGGAAGAAGAUGAUAACUAUGAAGUGGAGCUGAAAGUUGUUGAUUUGUUUGAUAAUGACUUGGUUAAAGAUUUCCUAAGCUGGAUUGAGCGAUGCUGUGAUUUGGUGUUGAAGCAUCUUUCAGUCAUCCAGAAACAAAGAUGCUGAUGAAAAAAGUUGAUGCAUUGAUGAAAGCCAUGGAGCAGAGUCUAUGAAAAUAAAGAGAGAAACCGUAGCUAAAGAUAAAGAAGCUGCAGCAGCCAAGGUGGAUGCUGACAAAAAGAACAGAAUUAUAAACUCAUCUAAGAGGUUCUAAUUACUUUUCAACAGCCUCAAUACCAUUCUUUCCUUUUGUAUGAUGCUUCUGUAGCAGCAUCCCUUUCAAAUAUUAAAAUUUUUCAGAUCUGAUCACCUGAAUAUAUGAUUGAUUUUAUGGUUUACUUCUAAUUGCUGGGGGUAACAAAAGCAUCUUCAAUGUUUGGUUACACGAGAUUUAUUGAAGAUAAUGUGGAGAUUUAGUCUUUAUGAGCAAUGUGUCCUAUUAUGAUCAUACGACAAUAAUUCCCGCAGCAAAGUUUCAGCUUAAUGACAAAUUUAAACCCAGUUCGUUUUUCUGUCCAAGUUUAUGUACAAAAUUUGGGUUCCUGUUUCUUUAAAGUUUUAUUUUGGGUUCUGAUUCUGCGUCAUUUUGAUGCGUCAAAUCUGAUAUAACUCCCCUAGGUCCACUCCUUGAUAAGACUGAACGUUAUUUCACCAAGGUAAACUCAACCUCCUGUGCAAAAAAUUUAAGUUCAUGUAUUUUGAUUAUCGAUCUCUGCAUUCUUCCGUGACUACAAAGGAACUCCAUAAGAAAGCUGACUGGUAAGAUGUCUUCUAAUAUUUAUUUAUUAUCUGCUUUGCCUACAUUUUAGAUAAUAAGCUUCUGAUAGAACACUUGGAAAUGAAGCGUACUGUUGAAAGGCCAACUGUCGACAACCUUAUCUGGUUUGCUCACAUUUUAGAAAGAUAUGAGAAGUUGAAGUUGGAGAUUGUGAAUAGAAAGAGCGAGAAUGAAAAUUUAAGGCAGAAUUCAUCGACCAAAUUAAGAGACCAGCUAUUGACCAGCAUUGCUCUUCAGCAAGCAACACCAACACCGACUGAACAUUGUAUUCAAUUUAUAGCUUCAUUAAAGUACAUACAUCAAGUUUGAUCUGAAAUUCUCAGUUUUGUAUCAAUCACAUUAUCAUCUAUUAAACCAGUUCCCGCGCAAGCCGCGGGCAACUAUUGCUCGUAAGUA